CAUUAAGCACUCCGCCUGGGGAGUACGGCCGCAAGGCUGAAACUCAAAGGAAUUGACGGGGGCCCGCACAAGCGGUGGAGCAUGUGGUUUAAUUCGAAGCAACGCGAAGAACCUUACCAGGUCUUGACAUCCUCUGACAACCCUAGAGAUAGGGCUUCUCCUUCGGGAGCAGAGUGACAGGUGGUGCAUGGUUGUCGUCAGCUCGUGUCGUGAGAUGUUGGGUUAAGUCCCGCAACGAGCGCAACCCUUGAUCUUAGUUGCCAUCAUUAAGUUGGGCACUCUAAGGUGACUGCCGGUGACAAACCGGAGGAAGGUGGGGAUGACGUCAAAUCAUCAUGCCCCUUAUGACCUGGGCUACACACGUGCUACAAUGGACGGUACAAAGAGCUGCAAGACCGCGAGGUGGAGCUAAUCUCAUAAAACCGUUCUCAGUUCGGAUUGUAGGCUGCAACUCGCCUACAUGAAGCUGGAAUCGCUAGUU
rnacentral:rRNA from 1 species